rnacentral:rRNA from 1 species
ACAUGCAAGUCGAGCGGGCGUAGCAAUACGUCAGCGGCAGACGGGUGAGUAACGCGUGGGAACGUACCUUUUGGUUCGGAACAACACAGGGAAACUUGUGCUAAUACCGGAUAAGCCCUUACGGGGAAAGAUUUAUCGCCGAAAGAUCGGCCCGCGUCUGAUUAGCUAGUUGGUGAGGUAACGGCUCACCAAGGCGACGAUCAGUAGCUGGUCUGAGAGGAUGAUCAGCCACAUUGGGACUGAGACACGGCCCAAACUCCUACGGGAGGCAGCAGUGGGGAAUAUUGGACAAUGGGCGCAAGCCUGAUCCAGCCAUGCCGCGUGAGUGAUGAAGGCCCUAGGGUUGUAAAGCUCUUUUGUGCGGGAAGAUAAUGACGGUACCGCAAGAAUAAGCCCCGGCUAACUUCGUGCCAGCAGCCGCGGUAAUACGAAGGGGGCUAGCGUUGCUCGGAAUCACUGGGCGUAAAGGGUGCGUAGGCGGGUCUUUAAGUCAGGGGUGAAAUCCUGGAGCUCAACUCCAGAACUGCCUUUGAUACUGAGGAUCUUGAGUUCGGGAGAGGUGAGUGGAACUGCGAGUGUAGAGGUGAAAUUCGUAGAUAUUCGCAAGAACACCAGUGGCGAAGGCGGCUCACUGGCCCGAUACUGACGCUGAGGCAC